UGCGCCUUGCCAGCCCGCUCAGAAACUUAAAGGAAUUGACGGGGGCCCGCACAAGCGGUGGAGCAUGUGGUUUAAUUCGAUGAUACGCGAGGAACCUUACCUGGGCUCAAAUGUAUGUUGACGUAUUCUGAAAGGGAUACUUCUUCGGACAAUAUACAAGGUGCUGCAUGGUUGUCGUCAGCUCGUGCCGUGAGGUGUCGGGUUAAGUCCCAUAACGAGCGCAACCCCUAUCAUUAGUUGCCAUCAGGUCAAGCUGGGGACUCUAAUGAAACUGCCUACGCAAGUAGUGAGGAAGGUGGGGAUGACGUCAAAUCAGCACGGCCCUUACGGCCUGGGCUACACACGUGCUACAAUGGUCGGUACAAAGGGUUGCCAAGCCGCGAGGUGGAGCUAAUCCCAUAAAACCGAUCGUAGUCCGGAUCGCAGUCUGCAACUCGACUGCGUGAAGUCGGAAUCGCUAGUAAUCGCGGAUCAGAACGCCGCGGUGAAUACGUUCUCGGGGUUU
rnacentral:rRNA from 1 species